rnacentral:rRNA from 1 species
GAUGAACGCUGGCGGCGUGCUUAACACAUGCAAGUCGAACGAUGAAGCCCAGCUUGCUGGGUGGAUUAGUGGCGAACGGGUGAGUAACACGUGAGUAACCUGCCCUUGACUCUAGGAUAAGCCCGGGAAACUGGGUCUAAUACUGGAUAGGAACGUCUACCGCAUGGUGGGUGUUGGAAAGAAUUUCGGUCAUGGAUGGACUCGCGGCCUAUCAGCUUGUUGGUGAGGUAAUGGCUCACCAAGGCGACGACGGGUAGCCGGCCUGAGAGGGUGACCGGCCACACUGGGACUGAGACACGGCCCAGACUCCUACGGGAGGCAGCAGUGGGGAAUAUUGCACAAUGGGCGAAAGCCUGAUGCAGCGACGCCGCGUGAGGGAUGACGGCCUUCGGGUUGUAAACCUCUUUCAGUAGGGAAGAAGCGAAAGUGACGGGACCUGCAGAAGAAGCACCGGCUAACUACGU